CUGCAAUGAUGAUAUAUUCUGCCUGACAGUUCAUGAAGAACAUAUAUUUGAGCUUUUUAACCCUGAGCAGA